UCCUCAUGGCUCUCCUCUUUCUGCACAUAAAACUGAAACCCUAGUGUGAGCUAGGAGAAACGAAGAAGAUCCUGUUCCUGACUUGCUCAUCCAUGGCGGAGCAUUUAGCGUCGAUCUUCGGGACGGAGAAGGACAGAGUCAAUUGUCCAUUUUACUUCAAGAUUGGAGCCUGUAGGCAUGGCGAUCGAUGUUCCAGGCUCCACACAAAACCUAGCAUUAGUCCUACAUUGUUACUGUCUAACAUGUACCAGCGCCCUGAUAUGAUCACUCCUGGCGUCGAUGCUCAAGGAAAUCCAAUCGAUCCUCGAAAAAUCCAAGAUCACUUCGAGGAUUUCUAUGAAGAUCUCUUCGAGGAGCUGAACAAGUAUGGGGAAAUCGAAAGCUUGAAUGUUUGUGACAACCUUGCUGACCACAUGGUGGGAAAUGUAUAUGUUCAGUUUAGGGAAGAAGAAUACGCUGCAAAAGCACUCAAGAAUCUCACUGGAAGAUACUACGCAGGUCGACCAAUCAUUGUUGACUUCUCACCUGUGACUGAUUUCCGGGAAGCAACUUGCAGACAAUAUGAAGAAAACACCUGCAAUCGUGGUGGAUACUGCAACUUCAUGCAUCUAAAAAGAAUUGGCAGGGAAUUGAGGAGAGAGCUGUUUGGUAGGUAUAGAAGAAGGCAUAGUCGUAGCAGAAGUAGGAGUAGAAGUCCAUACAGACAUCGAAGCUAUGAAGAGCGAGGGCAUUCUGGUCAUUCUCAUAGCAGAAGAUAUGAUGACAGGGAUAGAGACAGGGAUUACUACCAUGAGAGAGGGUCAAGAAGGCAUAGAAGCACAAGCCCUCUUCAUAGGAGACAGCUUAGUCCUGUUAGGGAAGGUAGUGAAGAAAGGCGUGCAAAAAUUGAGGAAUGGAAUAGGAAAAGGGAAGAAGCAGCAAAAGUCAACAUGGUCAAUGAUUAUGAGCAUUGAAUUGCUUCUGUUUGUUUUUCUGGUUAGUUUUUUUUUUCAUCUUUUUAACUUUCAUUUUUGUAUGCAUACAUGCUUGUGGUUUUGCAGUCAGGUUCAGUGUGAUAGGAACUCUUCAAAGCUUAGGGAUUUGCAUAUGAAUGGAGUCUACAAUCUACAUGUAAUGAGGUUAGGGAUGAUUGAGUAUUAGUUAAGUUGGUGAAGAUUUCUGCCCAAUUUGAAAGCAGUGAUUUGGUAUUAUUUGGUGUUAUUGAAUCUUUUGUAGUUUGAUGCAAAUGUAUUAUGAUAUUAAGCAGGUUUAAUGAUUUCUUCUAAAGCAAGUGCUUUAUGAGAAAAGAUUAUUUUUAGUUA